rnacentral:rRNA from 1 species
GCCAUAAAUCUAGCCCGCAUCCCCAGAAAUAUCAACCCGAAUUUACCAAAAUUCAAUAAAACAUUUUUAUGUUAAAGUAGAGGAGAUCAAAAAAUCUCUAAGCGCUUAAGACAAGGUACCGAAAGGGAAAGAUGAAAUAGAAAUGAAACAACCUACAAGCCCAUAAUAGCAGAGAUUCACCCUCGUACCUUUUGCAUCAUGGUCUAGCCAGUCUCCUCUAGCAAAAAGAAACUAAAGUUUGACACCCCGAAACUAAGUGAGCUACUUCAAAACAGCCCUUAGGGCCAACCCGUCUCUGUUGCAAAAGAGUGGGAAGAUUUUCAAGUAGAAGUGAAAAGCCUAUCGAACUUAGAGAUAGCUGGUUGUUCAGGAAAAGAGUUUUAGCUCCACCUUAAGCAUCCUUAUUACCACAAACAACAUAUUAGGCUUAAGAGUUAUUCAAAUAAGGCACAGCUUAUAUGAAUAAGGAUACAACCUACAAUAACGGGUAAACUAGGGAACUAUUACUAAAGUUGGCCUGAAAGCAGCUACCUUUAAAAGGGCGUCAAAGCCUUAAUAUAUUAACCCUCAAUCUCAUAAUUUAUAAUGAACCCUCCCACACUACUGAACUAUUUUAUAAUUAUAUAAAAGAAAUAAUGCUAGAACUAGUAAUAAGAGGUAGCCCCUCUCCUAAAUGUUAGCUUACGCCAUAACGGACCUACCAAUGGCCAUUAACGCCUAUGAAAAUACUAUAGUAACUUUUCUAGAAAACCCUAUUAUUAAUUACGUUAAUCUUACACAAGAACAUUUCAGGAAAGAUUAAAAGAGUAAGAAGGAACUCGGCAAACAUAAACCCCGCCUGUUUACCAAAAACAUCGCCUCUUGAUUAACUAUAAGAGGUCCAGCCUGCCCAGUGACAUAGUUCAACGGCCGCGGUACCCUGACCGUGCGAAGGUAGCAUAAUCACUUGCUCUUUAAAUGGGGGCUAGUAUCAACGGCAUCACGAGGGUUCAACUGUCUCCUUUAUCUAAUCAAUGAACCUGAUCUCUUCGUGAAGAAGCGAGGAUAAAAAUAUAAGACGAGAAGACCCCAUGGAGCUUUAAACUCGAUGUGCACCUAAAUAAGCACUCACACCCUCUCAGCCCUUUAGAAUUGUACAUCAGUUUUGGGUUGGGGCGACCACGGAGAAAAAUAUAACCUCCACGACAAAUGGAUUAAAAUCCUAAUCCAAGAAUUACCUUUCUAAGAAUCAACAGAUUGAUGUAAAUUGAUCCGAAAACCUCGAUCAACGGACCAAGUUACCCUGGGGAUAACAGCGCAAUCUACUUCGAGAGCCCAUAUCGACAAGUAGGUUUACGACCUCGAUGUUGGAUCAGGGUAUCCCAGUGGUGCAACCGCUACUAAAGGUUCGUUUGUUCAACGAUUAAAACCCUACGUGAUCU